AGGUCGAGGGCUGAGGAUCAUGGUUGUGGCAUCAUGAGGACAUGACAAAGUAAUAUUGUAACCCAAUAUUUUUGUGUUUACCUUACAUUUUGACUUGAAUAAGGGACAACUACAUCUCCGAGAGCAGUGAUGAUUGCUAAACAAGCCAAAAAGGAAAAAAGUAACCGCACCACCUGGAUUUCUGUUCCAUUUCCAUACCAGAUCUUCAGUAUAAACACACAUUUAGACUGGCCUUGUGUUUGCUCAGCUGUGGUUAUGGCACUGCAGAAUAAAUGGUGGAUAUAAAGGAUUUAUAAUAAUUGAAGAUGGAGUUGAGGAAGAAGGAUAAGCGGUAUAGAAGAUGGAUGGAUGGGAGUUGAGGAAACAGAAAAUCUCAAUAAUAAAUAUCAAUCAUUUAAGGUCCUCAUGAACAUGCAUUUUAAACAAUUAAAAAUUUAUAC